GCCGUCGGCAGCGUCGUGGCGGGCGCCGCGUUCCUCCGCGCGGAGCGGCGCAGCGGCGACCCGAUGAUGCCACCGGCGAUCUUCUCGUCCCGGCAGUUC
rnacentral:tRNA from 1 species